AGUGAACGCUGGCGGUAGGCCUAACACAUGCAAGUCGAACGGCGGCACAGGAGAGCUUGCUCUCUGGGUGGCGAGUGGCGGACGGGUGAGGAAUACAUCGGAAUCUACCUUUUCGUGGGGGAUAACGUAGGGAAACUUACGCUAAUACCGCAUACGACCUACGGGUGAAAGUGGGGGACCGCAAGGCCUCACGCGAUUAGAUGAGCCGAUGUCCGAUUAGCUAGUUGGCGGGGUAAUGGCCCACCAAGGCGACGAUCGGUAGCUGGUCUGAGAGGAUGAUCAGCCACACUGGAACUGAGACACGGUCCAGACUCCUACGGGAGGCAGCAGUGGGGAAUAUUGGACAAUGGGCGCAAGCCUGAUCCAGCCAUACCGCGUGGGUGAAGAAGGCCUUCGGGUUGUAAAGCCCUUUUGUUGGGAAAGAAAUCCUGUCGAUUAAUACGCGGUGGGGAUGACGGUACCCAAAGAAUAAGCACCGGCUAACUUCGUG
rnacentral:rRNA from 1 species